GAUGAAGAACGUAGCGAAAUGCGAUACGUAAUGUGAAUUGCAAAUUCAGUGAAUCAUCGAGUCUUUGAACGCACAUUGCGCCCCCUGGUAUUCCGGGGGGCAUGCCUGUCCGAGCGUCAUUGCUGCCCUCAAGCACGGCUUGUGUGUUGGGCCCCGUCCUCCGAUCCCGGGGGACGGGCCCGAAAGGCAGCGGCGGCACCGCGUCCGGUCCUCGAGCGUAUGGGGCUUUGUCACCCGCUCUGUAGGCCCGGCCGGCGCUUGCCGAUCAACCCAAAUUUUUUAUCCAGGUUGACCUCGGAUCAGGUAGGAAUACCCGCUGAACUUAAGCAUAUCAAUAAGCGGAGGA
rnacentral:misc_RNA from 1 species